UACGAAGGGGGCUAGCGUUGCUCGGAAUCACUGGGCGUAAAGGGUGCGUAGGCGGGUUUUUAAGUCAGAGGUGAAAUCCUGGAGCUCAACUCCAGAACUGCCUUUGAUACUGAGAAUCUUGAGUAUGGGAGAGGUGAGUGGAACUGCGAGUGUAGAGGUGAAAUUCGUAGAUAUUCGCAAGAACACCAGUGGCGAAGGCGGCUCACUGGCCCAUAACUGACGCUGAGGCGCGAAAGCUAGGGGAGCAAACGGG
rnacentral:rRNA from 1 species